GCCUGAAUCAGUGUGUGUGUUAGUGGAAGCGUCUGGAAAGGCGCGCGAUACAGGGUGACAGCCCCGUACACAAAAAUGCACAUGCUGUGAGCUCGAUGAGUAGGGCGGGACACGUGGUAUCCUGUCUGAAUAUGGGGGGACCAUCCUCCAAGGCUAAAUACUCCUGACUGACCGAUAGUGAACCAGUACCGUGAGGGAAAGGCGAAAAGAACCCCGGCGAGGGGAGUGAAAAAGAACCUGAAACCGUGUACGUACAAGCAGUGGGAGCACAGAGCAAUCUGUGUGACUGCGUACCUUUUGUAUAAUGGGUCAGCGACUUAUAUUCUGUAGCAAGGUUAACCGAAUAGGGGAGCCGAAGGGAAACCGAGUCUUAACUGGGCGUUAAGUUGCAGGGUAUAGACCCGAAACCCGGUGAUCUAGCCAUGGGCAGGUUGAAGGUUGGGUAACACUAACUGGAGGACCGAACCGACUAAUGUUGAAAAAUUAGCGGAUGACUUGUGGCUGGGGGUGAAAGGCCAAUCAAACCGGGAGAUAGCUGGUUCUCCCCGAAAGCUAUUUAGGUAGCGCCUCGUGAAUUCAUCUCCGGGGGUAGAGCACUGUUUCGGCAAGGGGGUCAUCCCGACUUACCAACCCGAUGCAAACUGCGAAUACCGGAGAAUGUUAUCACGGGAGACACACGGCGGGUGCUAACGUCCGUCGUGAAGAGGGAAACAACCCAGACCGCCAGCUAAGGUCCCAAAGUCAUGGUUAAGUGGGAAACGAUGUGGGAAGGCCCAGACAGCCAGGAUGUUGGCUUAGAAGCAGCCAUCAUUUAAAGAAAGCGUAAUAGCUCACUGGUCGAGUCGGCCUGCGCGGAAGAUGUAACGGGGCUAAACCAUGCACCGAAGCUGCGGCAGCGACACUGUGUGUUGUUGGGUAGGGGAGCGU
rnacentral:rRNA from 1 species